GACGAACGCUGGCGGCGUGCUUAACACAUGCAAGUCGAGCGGAAAGGCCCUUCGGGGUACUCGAGCGGCGAACGGGUGAGUAACACGUGAGUAACCUGUCCCUAGCUUUGGGAUAACCCUCGGAAACGGGGGCUAAUACCGGAUAGGACCUUUGCCUGCAUGGGUGGGGGUGGAAAGUUUUUCGGCUAGGGGUGGACUCGCGGCCUAUCAGCUUGUUGGUGGGGUGAUGGCCUACCAAGGCGACGACGGGUAGCCGGCCUGAGAGGGCGA
rnacentral:rRNA from 1 species